UGUGUGACUGCUAGCUGAAAGUGGAACACUGCUAGUGUUGUGUGUGUGUGACGCGUCUCUGUUCUCUCAGUGUGCAGACGGCGGUGGAGUCGUUCUCCAGAAAGAGAGAUCUCGACUCCCUGUCCAGCGUGGGCUCCAGUGUGGGCACUGAAGACGUUGGUGAAGGGAUCCGUCAUUGGGCCGGUGUGCCACGAGGACCCGGAAGCAGCUCCGGACGGCAGUCUGUCACCGACACUAUGAGCAACUACAGUUUCAGAUCUUGCACUCAGGACCUGGAUGAAGAUGUAAAAGAAAGUUCUGGAGGUCUCGGGAGAGCGUCUUCAUCCACGGCUCUCUCCGAGCUCCUGGAGGGUCUGAGGAAGAAGCGCGUCGGCUGGGAACAAGGCUCAGAUGUGGGUGAAGGCAGCACCGUUUCUCUGCCCAUCUACCAGACCACAGGAGCUUCAGCUCUACGCCGCAGAGCCUCCGCACUCUCUCUAGAAGCUGAAGAAGGUUUAGAAGAGCUGCCUCGACCUGGAAUACUCAAACCUCCCAGUCCACAUCUCCCCCGCGCCUCCAGCCUCCGCUCGCUUCCAGAAGAAAAACCAGCAGUGAGUCCAGCCACUGCUACUGUGAUGGGGAAAAUGAACCGAUUCAGCUCCUGCGACUCUCUGACGUCCAACACAAGCUCCCGACGGCAGAUCUCCACCCUCGCUAUCCCAGAAGAAGAGGAGGAGAGUAACACAAAACCCUCGCCUACUAUUGGGUAUCAGCCUGUGCGCCGGCGUCUGCUAGGCGGAUUGGUUGCCGAAUCCGGAGAGUCACAUUUAGGAGCAGAACCGCUAGUUUUCCAGAACCGCAGACUCCUGGCCAGCACUCAGGUAGGGCUGUGCGGUUAAUUAAACUUCCAUUCAUUUGUUUUGAACAGAAUACACUUUAAUACAAUUAUCCAAACUGAAUUCAGGUUUAUUUGUACAGCUCUUUCCACAAUAAUUAUUGAUUCAAAGCAGCUUACAAAAGGUGCAUCACAGUCACAUCACAGAAUACGGUUCAGAACAAUUAUUGUGAUGAUUUUUUGCAAUUAGCAAAACAAUUACAUAUCUGUGUAAACCCAAACUGUAAAAUGGCUCUUAAAGUGAGAGGGGUCUGGAUGCAGACCUGGUGCAGUUGCAAUCUGAGCUGCAUCCAAUGCUUUUUAAUGUGCUCACCUAACCCCGCCCCUUACAGUGACGUCACCCGCUCCAUUUGAGUGCAUUGUGUCUGACAUUGCAUUGCUGAGUGAUGCAGUCUCAGCUUGCAUCAUAAAGGCUGCAUCCAGAUACUG
rnacentral:lncRNA from 1 species